AUACUUACCUGGACGGGGUCUAUGGGCGAUCAAGAAGAUCCAUGGCCUAGAUCAAUGAUCCACAUUGCACUUAGUGGAUGCGUUGGUUUACCAUCUCCUCAAGUAGGAGAGUGGACGUCGUAAUUUGUGGUAGAGGGGGUACGCGUUCGCGCGGCCCCUA
rnacentral:snRNA from 1 species